CGUUGGUGAUGAAUUCAGUCUGUAAACGUUCAACCUGGUGGUGUUGUCUUUAAUGGUGCAACUAGUGAAGAAUGCAGGUGGGAAGAAAGGUUGUUUUCUUUCUUGACUGUGAUCUGGAAAUGUACAACCAGAGGAUCUCAAUAAAUGCUCCAAUGUGUGACCAGCUAAUUUUAUUAACAUCAGUUCUCUAUGAAAUGAUGCUGCAUUUACUCGGUAACAGAAUGAAGUGGCAUAAAUGAGAGGCGGUGGACACUAACCUGUGACUGAGAGAGAGGAGCUACCACCGAUGAAGACUGGUCAUUUGGGUUUCACAUUUCUCUGUGAAUGAACAGUUUUGAAAAACUAAGCCUCGUGUAUCUAUUCUCCUUUAAAAGUACUGCCUUCCUAAGGAAAACACCCUCAAUGUAUUCAUUUUGUUUCAGUUCUUUGUCUGGAGCUGUUGCUACAACUGCUUUAAUGAGAGACAAUUUUUUUUUCUGUCAUCCACAGUGUCUUUUGCA
rnacentral:lncRNA from 10 species